UGUGCUGCAAUCGGUACUUUAAUGUGUGUACAGAUAAACAUUCUGUAACUUGUCUGACAGCGCAGUGCUGGGCUACGGGACUCUGGUAGUGACAGGAUGCUGAUUAUUGCUGCGAAACAAACCCAAGUUUGUUAGCAAGAAGUGUUUCUCCAGAUGGUUUAGGAUAGACAGUGUGCAGAAUUUGGAAGAUGUGGUGCAAACAAAAGUGCAUCUUCUGGCCAUGUUUAUGGGUUGUUUAACUACAAGGAUGAAUCUCUAGGUACCUGAUUUAUUACUGGGAAAAGGUUAGAAAGUAUGAUAGCUAACAAUACCCACAUGUCGAGGUAAAUAAUUUUGUAGUAAAGUUUUAAAAUUUUUUUCUCAGCAAUUAAUAGACAGUUGCCAGAAGAAGAGUAAUCCUUUGUUUGUUUCACACAACUCCACACUGUUUCUCAGAAUUCAAAGUAUGAUCAUAAUAAGUUCAGCUGAAAAAAGGUAUUAAUUAGCACUGUGACUUAAGAUGGUCCAGUUCCAGAGCUGCAGGACACUAUCAAAAUAUCACAUUUACCCACCUGCCCCACCACGGUGUCUCCAUGGCUGCAGGGCAACCUCUGCUCCGGCCCCUGGAGCACCUCGUCCUCCUCCUGCUCUGUGAGUCUCACACGGAUUUUCCCUCACACCGCCUAUGCAGCCUUUUGUCCUUUUUUGAAUCUGUUGUCAUAGAGGCGCCAAUUGCUUUGCUGAUGGGCUCCGCAGUGUCCUGUGGUGCGGCCAUUGUGGAGCCACCAGAACCGGCUGGAACCGGCUGUGUCCAGCACGGGGCAGCGCCAGGUCUCUCCUCAGAGAGCCCCCCCCAGCUCCCCUCAGCCAGCUGCACCCAAUACACACUAUCCUCUUAAACUAAAAUCCAAACUGCUUCAAAUCACAGUGGUUAAGGGUAGAAGGAAUCCCAGCGAGAAGAAAACCAGAUACUAAAUUACUUGAAAAAAUACAAGACAGAGUUCAGCACAGGUUAUUCACAGCUAUUUUACAUAGGCACUGUUAAACCAGACCGUGCAAGGUGAACUUCUACACUGUAUUGACUUCCAUUCUGUGAGGAAUCAUCAAAAGUAAAGAGUGAGCUUUGGAAACAGAAAGAGUGUUGCACUCAAGCAAGAGCCUCCCCAUUGCCUUGGCUGCUGGACGACAUUUGGACGGCAGAAGCAUUAGUCAGGUUACUGAGGUUGUCUUUCACUUGUUUUGAAAAGUGCUAAAGUAUUUCUAACACCCACCUAAAGCCAAGUUUUCAAAUUAUCCCAUUAAACAUUAUGAAAGAGAACAUGUUCAUGGCUCUUUAUAAGAUACAGUUGACAUAACUCUUUCUCCUUGGGCUGCUGGAGCAAAAAGAGAAAUCUGUAGACAGUGAUCAAAUAUCCUUUUCCUUUACAUCCCUGUUCCCAUCAUGAAAAUUCCAGAUCACAGUAAGGGAGCCGAUUAUCAGUGGCAGCUCUGGAGCCCUUAUGUGCCAGCCCCCAAGAGCACAGAGAUAUAAAUCCAUCAAUGCAUGCACGAUAAAAAUGAUUUUAUCUGCUCCUUCAACAUAGAAGAAAAAAAUUCUCAGGGGGGAAAUCCAAAAUGAAAAAUGAUCUGCAGAGUGUAAAAUAAAGCUUCAGAGAGCAAACCAGUAUUAUUCCUAAAGAAAAACAUAAAAUUUUUCCCACUUAAUGACAUCCAAAAGAUGACUAACUUCAAGUUACUGCUUGCUGCAUGCUAA